ensembl:lncRNA
CUUUUGGCGGGGCGCGGGGUGUCGCGCGGGCGGGGCUGGGCGCUUCUCACCUUGGCGCCCGUUUGUGAGGAAGCUCCGCCGGUGCCUGCUCGGCUGCUGUCAGUGUGCCUUCGGCGUCGUGUUGAGCUUUGUGCUUAGGAACGGGGAAACCUCGCUCAGAUGCUCAAUGCCGUCCUUCUCCCUUGCCCCUGAACUACAGCUCAGAGCUAACAAAACUGUAUUCCUGGAUGAAAUUUUAACAGAUCCCCAGCAUAAAGUUUCAGCUCGGGGCAAUGUGGAGGUGCCGCAGAUAAACAAGAAGAACAAUUCUGCGUAUUGAACUCUCAAACGAAAGUUUACUUUCCCUCUUCUCCCUGUCUACCUGUGCUCUGAGGCAACAAACACUGCUUCAGUGGCAAGAAAAAGGAGCAGAACAGAACUGAACAUUUCCGUGCUUUCAGAAGGAAGAAAAAAAGUCAGGAGUUUAUCUUUCAAGGAUGACUGCUCUUCAAGUACACCAGGUGGGAUCCAAUCAUGCGCUGCAUCUGAAGUGCACUUGAGAUAAAUUCAGGAUAGGUUCAUGCUUGGCCUCAGCUCUCACCGGAUCUGAAAAAUUCCAGAAGAAAUGAUACCAACAAGAUAAAAGGAGGAAAAAAAACAAAAAUACAAAAAUACUUUGUAUUUUCCUGUCCACCUUAAAACUAAGUUUUACUUCUGUCUGUGAUAUCCCUUUCUUAUGGAAUCACAAAUGUGGAGAAAAAGAAGCUUAAUCUAUCCUUUGGUAUCCUGAUCUGUUGGAACCCCCCUAAAACGUAUGAGGACAGAUUGGAGUGAAAAGGAAGCUGUAUCUUAUUGGUGCUAAACUAGCAUAACAUUCCCGAAUGGUUUUUUUCGCAACUCAAAUGCAGUGGAGGAUGUGGAGUCCAAUCUAGAGGACAAAAUUCACCCCCAUUGGCAAGCUGGUGAAUGCCAAAACUCUCUGCUCUCUUGAGGCACCGCCUGCGUCAGGAGGAGACUCUCCUCUCCUCUGCCUGCUCCAGACUGAAGAAGAACACAGCCAUUUCUUCUGUGAAUCUUUGCAACACUAUGCUUCCCUGAUGAAUUUUCAAAAUGACUUAUUCUUGCUGUUAGUUAUCUCCAGAACUGUUAUGGUCUUGCAUCAUUUGCUGGUCAAUUAUGAGCAUUUCCUUCAUUGUCUACUCAUUGUGAAGAAUAGCAGUGCCCCAUUCUGCAGAGCCUACACAGUUUCAGCUCUAAUUGUGUGCAGAGAAAGCUGAAAAUGGAAAUGCUUCUGAAGUCUGCUGAAGUUCUGGAAAUCAACAGGGAAGGAUGACCUUUUGCAUGUGGGAUGGAUGUAUCACAUAGUAAUUUCAGUUGUCCAGCAAAUGCGGUAUUGCAAACUCUAGCACUUUUUCCACUUGGCAAGAUAUACUGCAAACAGGCAAGCUUGGAAGAAAUUGAGCAUUUCUCCACCACCUCUGUCCCUGCGAAGCCUCCCACACUGCUUCCUUGGUCAGGCCCCUGUUGGAAGGCACUGACAAGCACCAGGAGUGAAUUGUCAAGCAACAAGCCCAGAAAAAGUCUUCAGGGAAUCUGGAUCACAACUGAAGGCAGCACUUCUCCCUUGCAGCCUGUUCCCCACCCAGUACCUCUCUGUGUCUGGAAAUCAGAUAUCAGCUUCUAAAUCUUCUACAUCCUCCAGACACAUCUACGUGUCAGAGCAUUUUUCUUAAGCUGAUCACCAAACAUGUUACACAUACAAUCAUGAUGAGAUUUCAUUCUUGUACACUUAAAAGAAUAUAUAUAUAUACCUUUUUUUUUACUGUGAGAAACUUCGAAAGAACAACCUGUUUUUAAGACAUGGGCAUAACCACAGGAUGUUCAGAGUUACGAGCAUGGAUAGCAGCAUUUUCUAAGUACAUCUGGCCAAUUGACAACAAUCACUCCUU